AGUGAACGCUGGCGGUAGGCCUAACACAUGCAAGUCGAACGGCAGCACAGUAAGAGCUUGCUCUUACGGGUGGCGAGUGGCGGACGGGUGAGGAAUACAUCGGAAUCUACUUUUUCGUGGGGGAUAACGUAGGGAAACUACGCUAAUUACGCCAAACGACCAAGGGGUGAAAGCAGGGGUUCUUGGAACCUGCGGCGUUGGAUGGAGCGGUGGUCGGAUUAGCUAGUUGGCGGGGUAAAGGCCCACCAAGACGACGAUCCGUAGCUGGUCUGAGAGGAUGAUCAGCCACACUGGAACUGAGACACGGUCCAGACUCCUACGGGAGGCAGCAGUGGGGAAUAUUGGACAAAGGGCGCAAGCCUGAUCCAGCCAUACCGCGUGGGUGAAGAAGGCCUUCGGGUUGUAAAGCCCUUUUGUUGGGAAAGAAAAGCAGCAGGUUAAUACCCCGCUGUUCUGACGGUACCCAAAGAAUAAGCACCGGCUAACUUCGUG
rnacentral:rRNA from 1 species